ensembl:lncRNA
AAGAGGAUUGUGCUGCUCGCUUCCCGGCUACCUAGCCGUGGUCUCCAGCUACCAAGCUGCGCUUACCAGCUACCCAAAAUCACAUCCCAGCCCGAUUCCUGACCUUUCUAGCCCUGUUCCCUGACCUUUCUAGCCCUGUUCCCUGACCUGCCUAGCCAUGUUCCUGACCUGCCUAGCCCUAUUCUUCACCUGCCUAGCCCUGUUCCUGACCUGCCUAGCCCUAUUCUUAACCUGCCUAGCCCUGGUCCUGACCUACAUAGCCCUGUUCCUGGCCCUAUUCCUGGCCCAUCUAACCCUGUUCCCGAACCUGAGACGGAGCGACUGGCGGGGACUUCUUCCUGCAAGCUACAAAGGAGGGGUCACGAAGGCCUGGGCUGUAUGGAGGAGAAGCAUUGCGGAAGUCAAAUUUAGGAAAAAUUGUGCCAGUGGGACCUGCUUAUUUUACCGUUAUCUUUUUGAUACCACAGAUAUCGAUGCACAGGCAAAGACCGCCAUCAUUUUCCACAAAUUAUAAACCUGCACCCACUGGAGAAGUGGAGGGCUGAAUGAGGCGGACCCGGCCAAGGUACUCCUGCAUGGCUUCAGUCUCAGUUUUCAAGUGCAGAGAGGGAGUCGAUUCUGUCCCAAGGAGAGCAGCUACCACGGGGUAGAAGCAGGUCAACGGUGAAAGUAUAUGGGCGAUUAAGUGGGAGAGAUGUGCCUGAGUGAAGACCUCCUUGAGAUCUGAAUUCUCUGGAGAGGUUUUGGUGAACGUACACUUCGCGUGACAGGUGGGGCACCGUUUCGGCAGACAAAUCAACACCGGUGAACAAAUCAAUAGGAGGGUUGGGUUUUACCAGUUGUGGAAAACCAAGUACCACUGGGUGUUUGGGAGAAUUAAUCACAUGCAGCCGUAUGGCAGACAUGUGACUCAAGUCAUUUGGUCAAGACACACUUCCUAGUCACUUCAAACACUGAACCUUUAAUACGAAUCCACAGCAGACUCAAGUAUGGCGCUCAUUAAAGUGUGCAUGUUAAUUCUCGUCUUGUGAACACCUUUCGCAAACCUUGGUACGAAGCAUACCCUGUAUAACACAGCCAAAAACAAGCUGUAUUGAACUCAGGACACCAUAGUGAAAAGUGUAGUGAAAAGAUUUCAGCUGUCGAUGUUUACCUCCUUCUUUAUAAAACGCUAAGGAGUCCACGCACAAAGGAGGGCCAUUUCAAGCAUAUAACAAAUGCUUAAUUGGUUUGUAAAGAUGUCUGAUUGGCUAGGGAAACCAUUCAGAACAAUAAUUACGUUCUAAUUUAAAACCACAGGUUUUGGUCACCAUAAUUGCAUUGAUUUGAACAGAUUGAUAAAGGAUAUAGAAAAACAACCAAUGUUGGGAAAUUCAUAAUUACACAUCUUGGAGAUGGUUUGGAAAAAACAAAAAGUACUUAUGACGUGACUUUGUAAAUCCGUCCACAAUCUAUUCACAGCUGUGAACAAAGCCACAAUAGAACCCGUUUGGAAGCAGUAUUCCACAAUGUGUAAUUGUAAAUCAGCUUAAUACGUUGGGU